rnacentral:lncRNA from 1 species
ACACAUGCCCUGGAUUGGCACCUUUGUGUAGUGCGCUCUGCUUUCCAUUUUGUUAAUCUGUGGAGAGGGACAAGAUACUUGUUGGCUGGAUAUUCUUCUGGCUUCCCAUUUUUCACUUUGAAGUUGUAUUAUUAUUAUUAUUAACAGUGUCAUGUAGACAUCUUUGCAGGGGAGGUGCACCAAAGAUUGGGAGCUUCUUCCUGCCCAAUAAGUGCAGCCAUAUGGCUAGGUUUGAGAGCCUUUUCUCCCAGUUUUAAUUUCUCUGACAAUAACAAGGUCACAGAAUUCAAUAUUUCAUUGUCCUUUAGAAUUUUGGAAAUCUAAAUUCAUUGUUUUUCUUUUAAGUCUCAAAACUUCCUUUGACGGUAGUGGCAACUUUAUAUUAAAGAGGUCUACACUGAGAGACUGGACAGUUUAUGAGGCCAUUAGAAGCUCAGAGUGCACUUUGUAUUCUUGCUUUAAACAAUAUAGUAUGAGUAAAAGCAGUUUGCAAAUGGGAAAGCAUUAUAUGUGUAAGAUAUUCUUGUUAUUCCAUCUACUUUCUACUGCUCUGCUAAACAUAUCUUAGAGAAACAUUGUAGUCUUCUCUGCAAUCCAUAUAAUACUUUUCCUGUUCUUUACUUCAUUGGUCUUUUGCAUUCUUAUCUCUGCCUUUCUUUCUUCUGAAGGUUGUCUCAUGAUAUGAGCAAUUAUUAGGCAAGCUACAUGUAAAAUCAUUCAGAAAUGAAGGCACAUACAUUUUUAUCAUGACUCAGAUAUCAAAGGACUGCUGUUUAUAGGAUGUCCUAAGUUUGGGCUGAAAAUGCUAACAUAAGCACAAAAUAAUUUCCUUUAGUCUAGUCUUAUUCUCCUUGAAACAUAUAUAUUUUUUUGCUAUAAAUAAAAUAAUAAUUUUAUAGGUAUAAAGAAAAAUAGAAAUCUCUUGUACACCAAUGACUUGGCAGAACGCUGUAAGUCCUCAUUGUUUCCUUUAAAUUUUAAUGUGGUAUGAUGCAAGAAAUCAUGUUCCUAAUGUUUUACUACCUUUUGUUUUCUGCAGCAGAGUCACAUUUCUCUAUGUAAGAAUUAAUAUGGAGGCACUAGAUUUGGGUGCAAAAUUAACUUUUCUAGACCAAGACAUUUUUUUCCCCUUGAAAUCCUCAUUGUAAAUAAAAACUGUAAAACUGUUAAUACUGUUAUUUUUGAGAGACUCAUAUUCUUUUUUGUCUAUACAUAUAUUUGUAAUUGCACUAUAGUUAAUGAGCUUGUUUUAGCAAAAUGUGCUCUGGAAGUAAGUAAACUAGAAUUCUACAAUAUAAGAAAAAGUUGGAAGGAUCUCCAGCUACUCAAAAUAUUAAAGUUGCUUUGGCGUGCUAAACUAAAUUCAGACACCAAAUGAAUCAGAUAAUCAAAUAACAGUCACCUUAA